rnacentral:rRNA from 1 species
GACGAACGCUGGCGGCGUGCUUAACACAUGCAAGUCGAACGGGCCUUGUCCCCUUUUUUUUUGGGGGUGGGGUUAGUGGCGAACGGGUGAGUAACACGUGAGUAACCUGCCCCUCACUUCUGGAUAACCGCUUGAAAGGGUGGCUAAUACGGGGUGUUCUGGCCUGCUCGCAUGGGUGGGUUUGGAAAGAUUCGACCGGUUUGGUUGUUUUGGUGGGGGAUGGGCUCGCGGCCUAUCAGCUUGUUGGUGGGGUGAUGGCCUGCCAAGGCUUUGACGGGUAGCCGGCCUGAGAGGGUGGGCGGUCACACUGGGACUGAGACACGGCCCAGACUCCUACGGGAGGCAGCAGUGGGGAAUAUUGCACAAUGGGCGCAAGCCUGAUGCAGCGACGCCGCGUGAGGGAUGGAGGCCUUCGGGUUGUGAACCUCUUUCGCCAGUGAAGAAGGUCCUGCUCUUUGUGGUGGGGUUGACGGUAGCGGGGUUAAUGAAGCGCCGGCUAACUACGUG